rnacentral:rRNA from 1 species
UAGGGAAUCUUCGGCAAUGGACGAAAGUCUGACCGAGCAACGCCGCGUGAGUGAAGAAGGUUUUCGGAUCGUAAAACUCUGUUGUUAGAGAAGAACAAGGACGUUAGUAACUGAACGUCCCCUGACGGUAUCUAACCAGAAAGCCACGGCUAACUACGUGCCAGCAGCCGCGGUAAUACGUAGGUGGCAAGCGUUGUCCGGAUUUAUUGGGCGUAAAGCGAGCGCAGGCGGUUUCUUAAGUCUGAUGUGAAAGCCCCCGGCUCAACCGGGGAGGGUCAUUGGAAACUGGGAGACGUGAGUGCAGAAGAGGAGAGUGGAAUUCCAUGUGUAGCGGUGAAAUGCGUAGAUAUAUGGAGGAACACCAGUGGCGAAGGUGGCUCUCUGGUCUGUAACUGACGCUGAGGCUCGAAAGCGUGGGGAGCAAACAGG